CAGGAGAUGCAGCCAGGUCCCUCAGAUGCUCGUCCAGCACUCAUCCUAUAAUGUGACCGAAAGAGAGUAACGAAGCUGUACACUUGACUCACCUACCUGGGAAUCUGUGAAGUUGUAGUCCAAGGAGAACUCCAGCUUACCCAACUUUUCCUGUUCUUUCUCCUCUUCCUCCCCUUCCUUCUUCACCUCCCCCUCCUACAAGAUGAAAAAAAAAAAACAUCAGUGCGCUGGAUAAUCAUCAUCAAGAUCUGUAUCAGCAUUUUUUGAAAAUACAGAAGAUGAAGCAUGCCACCAAUACCAGGACCACCACAACAAUGGCUCCUACUGCCCACAUGGGAA